CGUUCGGCAGGCAGGAAAACUCGAAGGCGUAAACAGUGAAAAAACGUUCUCCUCUCUCGGUGGGUUUGCGUGCGUGAAGUUUGGCUGGCGCUGCAGGAAAAGUCUUGUGAACCGUGCGUGUGCGUGUUUUUCCUUUCGCUCCCCCUUUUCCGUUCACAGUAGACGGUUUUGGCUGUACGUGCGACAAAAAAAAAAAACAAACCCCGUGCAUAUCGUAAAAUAUUGGGUGGUUUUAAAAAAAGAAAAACAAAAGCGGGGAAAAAUUGUAUCAAAAUACGGGCCGAGUUUUGCAAGCAGAGAUGAAAAUACACUCCUUUACCGGAAAAGAUUCGUUUGCCGUGUUUGCGUGAAUAUCAUCCUGAUCGUUUGGAUAGUUUGAGGGUGUAAAUGCAGGGUAAACUAUACUGCGCUGUUGCGGUGGCUAGCACGAUGUAAAGCUGUGCGAGGAUACUCUAUGUGGUUCCUAAGUUCAUCGAAUUAGCCGCAACACGGGCCCCCAGUACGAGCUGUGUGUGUUUUCCCCCAUUUUCUCCAAUCAUCAGUCAACAUUUGCAUCAUCAUCAGUAGCAAGCAGCAGCAGCACCAGCGGGCAACAAUCAACCAUUGAUCCAAGAAAAACCACGCGUCAUCGUUCCAUAGUUGCGCUGCCGGACGACGAAGACUUGCCGUUGCAAAUUUGUGCUGACACGUUACUCAAGCCCCGGUAACUAACAGUGGAUUGUUUUUGGCUAAAACAAAGCUGCACACUGCUGACAAACCCAGAUUUUCUGCACAGACUGCACGCAAACGAUUGCGCUUGACGUCCUUGUGGAAGGUGAUGUGUGCAGAAGGAUAACGUUUUGCGGGGGUGGAAAAUUCCACGCAUAAAACACACACACACACAAACUCCCUGGUUCUAAGAAAUUAAAAAAGGAAAAAAUGUGGACAGGAAGCGCAUCCCACCGGUUGGCAAAUCAUUCGAUAAACGUCACACCGCUAACGUUGAUGCUGCACCGCACGGUUCGCGUGUACGAGCGUAUUGCGUGUUAAAAUUGCUAGCGAUCCGCGCGUUGUUGUUUAGUGUAUUGCAAAAUUUUAAAAGUCGAGCAGUUUUGUUUUGUUACGUACGUCACCGCAACACUGCCGACGCUGCGGUCCCUUCGCCCGCCGACCAUCUCCUGCCAUCAAUUCGCGUUCGAUAACGAAAGGAGCAGCGCGUUGAAAACCGGGGGAGAGAGAAACACAGCAGAUGCGCUGUAUCGCGCGCGUCCUUUUUGCACGGUUUUGUGAGAGUGUUUCGUGUGUUUUAAGUAUAUAUAUUGCAGCAAAAAGGGCGAAAACGAGUAAAUGUUUGUUUUGGAGCUGCCGUCAUUUAGUGUGAAUAGAUGGUGGGAAGGGUGAAUGUAGGCAGCGCGUCCAGCUGCAAACUCCGCGCGUUGUUUUGUCACUAUCAAACCACAAUCAAACAAAUAGCGCCCCCAGUAGCACCGGAGCAGUAACUCACGCCGUUUGACGUCAGGUGCAAUUCCGCUUCACUCACGGUAACACAGGGUGACCAGUGACGGAUUUUAAUCUGUUUUUUUUUUUUCGUUUUCGGGUGUGUUGUGUAUAAGUGCGGGUAAAUUUGUUUUUCGAGUGUGCUCACGCGUGUUUUUUUUUGUCGUGAGGAAUAGUGCAGCUCCGUUGGUAUUGGUGCGCGUAUUUACCCACCUGUAACAAUCUUGAUUCCGAUUCUAAACUAUUUUGUGCGUUUACUGUACGGAUCUCAGUUCUUGGUGCUGUUGAUAAUAGUUGCGAAGAGUGUGUUCUUGUUUUGUUGUUUAAAUGGACAACCGUUUCUAGUGUGCGUGCUUAUAACCUUUUCCCGCUUAUCCGUUAACUCACACAUUGCAACGGUGGUGACGUUA